CUCAAUCCUUAACCUCUGUGUCUUUUUUUGGUUGUUUUCCCUUUUAGGCGAAGGAGAUUGAAACUUUUGACCUUGAAAGUUUGAAAAUCCAAGAGGAUUUUCCACCAUUCUGGCAUUUGAGAAUCUGUUUCCAGAGUUGGGGCAAUGCUCAUGUCUCAAGGAGCAAGAAGUGGUAAUUGGAAGUGACCUUCCAGAUUCCAGCCCAGCAGAAGCUGAAACAGCAGCAAUGUCACCUUUGGACAUUAACUUGGUAUGAGCAAAUGCUAUGCAAAAACUGAGGUCUAUGGUCUAAUCAUCCUCUUCACUUGACCCUCAUCUCAUGGGUUCUGGAAGUCCCAAGACUCUACAUCCUACAUACUUCUUUACUCUGGAUCUUUUUUCUCAAACAAUGAAGCUAUGCCUCCUUUGGGAAGAGUAAAUAUAGAAAAAUGACAACAUGUACAUUAAUGCUCGUUAGAAUGUCAUCAUUAUAUUUCGCCAAGUGUCUGCUGAGGGGAUCCCUGAAGGACACUUAGAAGCCAAGCAGCUGCUCCAGAUUGGUUCCAGCUCACAUCUCUGAGAAAUGACAUUGAGAUAAAUACAACAUUUCAAGUGGAGUCCAUGAGGGAAGGGUGAGAACUGGACUCUUCUUGGGGAGGGAGAAGGGUGGAGAUGACAAGCGGUAGUGGGCUAGUAGGGACCCAUGAAUACCAAAAGUUCCCUGAGAAAGGAGAUCUUGGGAUUAAAAUAAAUCUAUAAAUUAGGAAAGAGUGUAAGGAGGG
rnacentral:lncRNA from 1 species